GAUUUUCUCCUAUGUUAUCUUUUGGAGUUUUGUAGUUUUGCAUUUUGCAUUUAGGUCUAUGAUUGAUUUUGAGUUAAUUUUUCCAAAAGGUGCAAAGUUUGUGUCUACAUUCAUUUUUUUGCUUGUGAAUAUCCAGUUGCUCCAGCACCAUUUGUUGAAAAGACUAUACUUUCUCCACUCAGUUACUUUUGUUCCUUUGUCAAAGAUCACUUGACUAACUUUGUGUGGGCCUAUUUUUGGGCUCCGUUCUGUUCCGUUGAUCCUUUUGUCUAUUCUUUCACCAGUAUCACACUGUCUUGAUUAUUAUAGCUUUGUAUUAAGUAUUGAAGUCAUGUAGUAUCAGUCUUCCAGCUUUGUUCUUCUUUAGAAGCUGUUUUUAAUUGAGUUGUUUGUCUUUAUUGUUGAAUUGCAAGAUUUCUUUAUAUAUUCUGGAUACUAGACCCUUAGCCAGAUGUAUGAUAUACAGUUAUUUUCUCUAAUUUUUGUUGUCUUUUCUCUUUCUAGAUGAUGUUCUCUGAAGCACAUAAGUUUUUAAUUUUGAUGAAGUCCAGUGUAUCUGUUUUUUUCUUUGGUUGUUUCUGUUUUUGAUAGGAUAUCAAAACUAAGCCAAGGUCAUAAAUAUUUACUCCUAUGUAACUUCUAAAAAUUCUAUACAUUUAAUGUUCACCAGGAUGAGAAUGGUGAUGUGGCUUUUGUCUCACUAGGAUGAGAAUGGUGCCUUGGUCUCAUGGAAAAGCCUGGGGAAAGGCUGUUGCUGUGAAUGUGGUGGAUUCUCUACUUGUGCCUGUGCAGGACAAGGACAUGGAGCCACUUGGCCAACUAUGAGGCCGGAACACAUGAUGUCAAUGAAGAAGAAGAGGAUCUUGUCAAGAUGGUGGCGUAAGCAGACUCUUAACUCAUCUCCUCCCUCGAACACAGUCAGGUUACAACCAUUUUGGGAAAAAUUACUCUGGAUAGAAAACGGAAAACUGGAUAAAAAGAACCCCCACAACAAGGGACAGUCCUGACUCGAGCAGAAGAGGCAGAAAUUCCUGCUGGAGAGGAAAAAAGCCAACUUUGGGAGCAGCGGAGCUUCUCGGCUGGCCAGGCAGGAGCCACCCUAAGAAUCCACUAUCCUCUACGGAGACAGACACCGUCAAGGACAAGCACCUGGACUAUCUCCUCCUGCAAAGAGGACACAAUUGGAAACACUGGUUAUGUUACCAAGGCUUUGACUGGAACAUCAUGUUUGAAAAAACAUACAGGCUUGGAUAUAAUAAAACAGCUUUUGAGGAAUGAAGGUUGACAUUCUGGAAUAAAGCCACUUAGAAAUAUUGGCCUGAUACUGUGUUUAUGGAUUCUGUAACCUGAAAAACUUCUUAUUAAAUACCUGGUUACUUACUUACAUGAUACAGGCCUACUUUCAGGAACCCACCAGCAUCACUGCCUUAUUAAAAGACUGAUUCAAUAAGAUGAAACAACCUAUGCCCCAUUUCAGCAGGAAGUAGCUAGAUCAGUCACCGCCUCAAAUCCCUCAAGAUUGAGGGAUGGACAUAAAAUAGGGGGGAGUUGAUACCGACCCUGAUAUCAGUUUCCCCACACUAAACCCAGCAUAUAUGGGGUUAAAACCAAAACACUCAUUCCCUUCUUACUCUCUGGCUUCCUGGCUCCAGAAUCCACUAUCCUCCAUGGAGACAGACACUGUCAAGGACAAGCACCUGGACUAUCUCCUCCCGCAAAGAGACAGCACAUUCCUAAGCUAUUUUAACUCAUCAGUUCAGAAAUUCUGGAGUGCCUAUUCUCAGUUCUUGAGGCCUGGAUCCUUUUUCUUCCAGAGAAUCAGACCCAGACAUCAGCGACUAGAGGGUUUUCCUCUGUUUAAAAAAAUCUAUGAGAAGGCUCUCAUUGGAUCAGCUUGGGGCAGGUACAUUCCCUUGAACCAAUUAACUGUGGACGGGGGACAAGGUCACACGAUAACCUGGCAGCCUGGAAGCAGGAAGCAAGGAGCAGAGGCAGCAACUAGAAGCACACAAUUGGAAAUACUGGUUGUAUUACCAAGGCUUUGAUGGAAAUGUCAUAUUUGAGAGAGACAUGCAUAAACUAAGAUAUGACCAAACAGCUUUAAGGAACUAAAGUUGACCCUAUGAAGCCAACAAAGCCCUUUGGAAAACAGCCUGGUACCUUACUUAUAGGAUUCCUAACAGCCUGCCCAGG
ensembl:lncRNA